rnacentral:rRNA from 1 species
AAUACGUAGGUGGCAAGCGUUGUCCGGAUUUACUGGGCGUAAAGAGCGCGCAGGCGGUCGUUCAAGUCGAGUGUGAAAGCCCCCGGCUCAACUGGGGAGGGUCACUCGAUACUGAUCGACUCGAAGGCAGGAGAGGGAAGUGGAAUUCCCGGUGUAGUGGUGAAAUGCGUAGAUAUCGGGAGGAACACCAGUGGCGAAGGCGACUUCCUGGCCUGUUCUUGACGCUGAGGCGCGAAAGCUAGGGGAGCAAACGG